CACAUGAGAUGAUGGCUGAAGUGAGUCAGUGAAGGAGAAGAUCAAGAUCUGGAGGAGGACAUGCAGUUUACACUUCAGGAGAAAGACACAGAUGAGCUCCAGGGCAGAUUCAGCAAUCAUAAAGGAUCUAGGACAUGGAGUCAUGAUACCCACAGAAAAAUGGGUAUCAAAGUAUGCCCAAACAUGUUGGAUGAAUAUAUUUAAAUAUAUAAUGUCUAAUCAGUCAGCCCAAGUGAAGCCACACAAUGUAAAAGAAUAAAUGAAUCAAAUAAUAAAAAUGUAAUA